rnacentral:rRNA from 1 species
AGUCUACGGGAGGCAGCAGUGAGGAAUAUUGGACAAUGGUCGGAAGACUGAUCCAGCCAUGCCGCGUGCAGGAUGACGGCCUUAUGGGUUGUAAACUGCUUUUGUAAGGGAAGAAUAAGGACUACGUGUAGUUUGAUGACGGUACCUUACGAAUAAGCAUCGGCUAACUCCGUGCCAGCAGCCGCGGUAAUGACU